rnacentral:lncRNA from 1 species
AGCUGCUGUUUUCUCCUGUUGUUAACUAGCGCUUUUGUGAAUCUCUCAACGUGUGGUGAGAGCCGGUUGAUAUUUACUAUACUUCAGAGCAUCUUAUUUUCUGGAAAUACGUAAGUGAAUGCUGCUGCUGCUCUUGCUGCUGCUGUUGCUCUUGUCGCUGUUGUUGUUGUUGUUUUCAAAGACCACCCUAGACACCGUUUACGGGAUCAAAAGCAUUAUAAAAUAUGUGUAAUUAUUUCCUGAUCAUGCCCUUCCUCCUCCUCUCUCUGUCUCUCUGUCUGUCUCUGUCUCUCUCUUUCUCUGUCUCUCUCUCUCUCUGCCUAUUUCUCUCUCUCUCUCUGCCUGUCUCUCUCACUGUGCCUGUCUUCUGUCUUACUCCCUUUCUCUGCCUGUCUGUCUCUCUCUCUGUGCCUCUGUCUCUAUCUCUCUCUCUGCCUGUCUCUCUCACUGUGUCUGUCUUCUAUCUUACUCUCUUUCUCUGCCUGCCUGUCUCUCUCUCUCUGUUUCUCUCUGUCUCUCUCUGUCCAUCUCUGUCUUUCUCUGUCUGUCUCUUUUUCUGUCUGUAUCUCUCUUUCUCUGUCUCGCUGUCUCUGUCUCUCUCUCUCUGUCUCUCUCACUGUGUCUGUCUUCUGUCUUAUUCUCUUUCUCUGCCUGUCUGUCUGUCUGUCUGUUGGUCUCUCUCUCUUGCUCUCUCUCCCUGUCUCUCUGUUUGUCUCUCUCUCUCCCUCUCUCUGUCUCUCUCUCUCUGU